rnacentral:rRNA from 1 species
UUAAUUGAAGAGUUUGAUCAUGGCUCAGAUUGAACGCUGGCGGCAGGCCUAACACAUGCAAGUCGAGCGGCAGCGACUUAACUGAACCUUCGGGGAAUGUUAAGGGCGGCGAGCGGCGGACGGGUGAGUAAUGCCUGGGAAUAUGCCCUGAUGUGGGGGAUAACUAUUGGAAACGAUAGCUAAUACCGCAUAAUCUCUUCGGAGCAAAGAGGGGGACCUUUGGGCCUCUCGCGUCAGGAUUAGCCCAGGUGGGAUUAGCUUGUUGGUGAGGUAAUGGCUCACCAAGGCAACGAUCCCUAGCUGGUCUGAGAGGAUGAUCAGCCACACUGGAACUGAGACACGGUCCAGACUCCUACGGGAGGCAGCAGUGGGGAAUAUUGCACAAUGGGGGGAACCCUGAUGCAGCCAUGCCGCGUGUGUGAAGAAGGCCUUCGGGUUGUAAAGCACUUUCAGUAGGGAGGAAGGUAGUGUAGUUAACACCUGCAUUAUUUGACGUUACCUACAGAAGAAGCACCGGCUA